AUUGAAGUAUUGUUGAUCAAACGUCGAGGAUGACAAAAAUUAUGAAAAACACAUCUUAGAUUAAUUGGCUUGAUGAUAUAAUAUGAACGGAUGGCGGUAGUAAAAAAAGAUUCACUAACUGUUGUUCCGGCAAGUUCUAUCACAGUUGUACAAAAGAAGAAACCACAGAAAAUAUUGGAUGAAGACACAUAUACACAGGAUGUAGAAAAUAUCAUAGAAAAAGACUUUUUCCCAGAUCUGCCGGAUUUAAAAUCGAAAGGAGAGUACUUUGAAGCAUUGGAGAAAAAUGACCUUGUGAAGUUGCGAAAAUUUCAGCUGAAAUUUACUGGCGGAAGACCCACCACAAACCGAACAGAGUCUUUCCCAUACAUCUUGGUGAAGAAAGUGAAAUCUUUGAAUCGCUUCCAUACACUGAACUUAGUUCCAAUGAGUUGAACUUAAGAUAGGUAAUUCACCUGCAACAUUUGAGACACCAGAUAUCAGACAGGAAGAGGAGUCAUCUAAAAAUGCCCAUAAAGAAAAAUGUACUGAAGAGACCGAGGAAAAGGAAGGCAACAAAAAGCAGCCAAACCUUUCCCUGGAUGCCUAUAUGUCUAAGAACACCAGUGAAGACAAUGCUUCUUUCGCUGAGAUUCUAGAGGAGACACAGCAGAAACACAGGGAAAAGCAUGCCUGGCUCUACGAAAACGAAAGUAGCCGAAAGCAAGAAGAGGAGAAAAGAAUGGCUUUGCCGAAUAUUGAACAGCAGGCAGCCAUUGAAGCUCCACAGGCCGGAGUUGAUAGCUGGAAGUACCAGGCUCGUAACUCUCUCAUGUAUGUCCCUGAAGGUGCUGACUUUAGUGCACAAGAAAUCAUUGAUGCCCAGAAGAAGAAGCCCAGGAAAAUAGUUCAUGAGAACACCCGCUUCACUCAGUAUCCGUGGAACAAAAACAAGAAUCAGAACCUUAUAAAGGAAGCCGCCUCAGCCAAGGCUAUCAUUAACCACGGGAAGAUUGGACAUGAUGGUAAAGAGAUUCUUCCAGCGGAGUCACCUCGGGUCAAUGGCUACGGGUUUUUGGCAACUCCCUCCCCUGCCCCUGGGGUAGAUGAAUCCCCCCUUAUGACUUGGGGAGAAAUCGAAAGCACUCCUUUUCGGUUGGAGGGAGGUGAAACUCCAUUGGUUGGAUCUGGACCAGGAUUUAAGAUUCCAGAAAUACCUGCCAGAGAUCAGUUGGCCAUGGAUCUAGCAGAAAAAGCCAGUAAAUCUCACCGAGACAAGAAGGAGAAAGCUCUCAAAAGUGUGCAGGCCAGAUUAGCAUCGCCAUUUUCCCCAAAGUUUGGGCGGAGCACUUCAGACAGAAUAAGCUCCAUGUCCCCCGCUGCUCAGAAGCUUGCUCACUCGCGGCUUGGGAUCCGGUCAAGCACAGACAAGGCCCUGCGAGCCAGCUACACCCCCUCUCCCUCCCACACGCUCCCUGGGAGUAAGACACCCAUCAGCCUCACCCCUAGUGGCACCCCCAAGAGUAGCACUCCCUCUGUGAAAGGAACCCCCGGCAGCAAGAGGGGGGUAGGGGAUGUUCAAUCACUCACAGACAAUCUCCUGCAGAUUCCCAAACGACCCAAAGCGGCCGAUUUCUUCGAGUGAUUCGGGCUCUGUGCUGGGAUGUAUAACCCUGCACAUUGUAUCAACACAGAAAUGCUGGUGUAUUGUGAUGAUGAUUUUGUAGAAAAUAUUGUGUUCACUGGGCAGAGACAACAGAAAAUGUUCAUUUCACUUUUAAAAUUUUAUACAUGAACAUUGAAAAGGAAAAGAUCUGUCAAAAUUUACUAGAUCGGGACUGUAAAUAAGUAUCAAAGGAAUGAUUUAUGAUAUGAAUCAUCACCCAAACCGUAUCGUGACUAAAGACUAAUGUGUUUGUCUUUCAGAAUUUGCAUUAUAUUAUUAUAUAAAUCAUAUUGUAAUCUGCUAAUAGAAAGACGGAGGUAUAGCUGUGCAUGAGAAUAGGACAUAUAUGGAUGAUAUGUUGUAUUGAAACCUCAGUAAACAUUGAACACCUUCAUUCACCAUGUGACAUUUGAUGACUUUUUAACAGAAUUAAAUAUUCAAACCUUU
rnacentral:misc_RNA from 1 species